UAAUUUUAUCUAACCUGGUGAGCCCGCACAUCCACCUGAGCAUCCUCAUCUCCGCAACCUUCAUCCUCUGAACAUGAGAGUUCUUCACUGGACAACACUCCGGCCAUACAAUAUUGCAGGUCUAACCACAGCUCUAUGAAAUUUCCCCUUGAGUUUCAGUGGAACUUUCUUGUCACACAACACUCCUGAUGCAAGCCUCCACUUUGACCCCCCCGCUCCUAUAUGAUGAGUGACGUCCCCGUCAAUCUCUCCCUCCCCCUGAAUCACCGACCCAAGAUAUCUGACACUGUCCCUCUUGGAGAUGACCUGAGAUCCAAUCAUCACGUCUCCGCCUACUUCGCUCGGUUCGACGCUAAACUUGCACUCCAGGUAUUCUGUCUUAGAUAUGUUUAUUUUGAAACCCUUAGACUCGAGAUUCUGUCUCCAUACCUCUAACCUCUCAUUAACACCGACCCUCGUCUCGUCUAU
rnacentral:lncRNA from 1 species